ACGUUAAGGCCAUCCUAGAACCGAGAAAGAGCUCUCCUCACAAGAUAAGGAGCUCAAGCACAAACCAAGAUCCCAGCCCUUCUAGUACACCAAGCCUGUAGCCAGUAAGCCUAGAGUCCGCUCAAAGCACUCAGGAAAGCGUCAUAGCUCACUACAGGACAUCUCAAAGAUACCUGAAUACUGCUCUGAUCAAGCCCUCCGAACCAGUGAAAACCAUCAAGGUAACAGAGAGUAUGACCACCAGAAACACUAUAGAAUCAACUGAACUAGAGAGUCAAAGCUAGAAUGUAUACGUGAGUAAUGCCGAACCAUGAAAGAACCAAGGUCUGAGCUACGUGGGUAUCCCUAGCACCUUCUACAGCCUAGGAAUCAACCAGUCUAUAAGCCCCAGCAACCAGAGAAUCAAGAGAAGCUCAAAGCCAAGAAACCUACAUACCAGCCACCCCUCAGAUAAGCCUCUCUCAAGCAGAUAUAAAGCCUCUGAGGAAGAUAUACGCACGAAGCUAUAUACCGAUGCAUGUACUGGAACGCACUUGGAACACCAUAGACUGUACUUGAACCGACUCAGGAGCGUAGUAUAUAAGCCAGAGUACGAUAAGCACUUCAAGGAACUAGACAAAGCUAGCAAGUCAUCCUCGGAUGAAUCCUGCGUCACAAUAUAGGUGACUGAUAGUGCAGAACAGGGCGACUGCUUAACAAAAGCACAGGUCUCUGCGUAAGUGCCCAGCCAAUCAUGUAUAGAGACUGACACCUGCCCAGUAUAUGCCACUACAGAUCAUCUUUGUCAUCGAAGAGCCUCCAGAGUGCAUAUAAACGGCGCCUUUAACUAUAAGAGGCCUAAGGUAGCGAAACUCCUUGAUGGAUAAUUGCCAUCCAGCAUGAACGGUGCAACGACCCUGAACUUGUCUCAAAGGUAAGAUACGAUGAAAUCUUAGAAGAUGUGCAAAUACAUCUAAACCAGCCAUUCAGACAAGAAGACCCCGUGAACCUUCACUAGAUAGGCUCAUGUGACCUGUAGAGCUCACCAGGAUAACUCUGAUCAUCCCCUCAGAACCACUCCAGGAUACAGCUUAACACUACUGGUCAGAGCUUCUGGGUCUUAUAGUUUGUCUGGGACGGAUUCCUAUAAAUAAGUAACAUAGGAGCCCUAUGGUAUCCUCUAGAACUUAAUCUUUUGAGUAUAAAUAGCAGCAAUCUGUUAUCUCUAGAUGCCUGAUGGAUUCGUCCACUGAUGUGUCCAAGGAUCUAUAUUCCUGGGAUAGUGUCCCGUAUAGCGAGCUCUAAGGAGUCAUUAUACGAUCAUCGGUUCAAAGGUACUCCGGGGAUAACAGGUCAAGCGAAGUCGAGUGAUAGCCAUCGACACUUCGUUCUGAUACCUCGAUGUCGUCUCAUCCAGACCUAUUACUGCAGAUGGUAAUGAAGGUUAGACUGUUCGUCUAUUAAGUGGAUACGUGAGAUGGGUUCAGAACGUUGUGAAACAGUUCGGAUUAUAUCUGAUGGCUGACCUCGGCUGAACAAUACAUGUGGUAGCCAUUCCGUAGUACGAGAGGAUUCAGGAAUGAGUCACCUCUUGU
rnacentral:rRNA from 12 species